rnacentral:rRNA from 1 species
GGACUACAGGGGUAUCUAAUCCUGUUUGCUCCCCACGCUUUCGUGCAUGAGCGUCAGUUUUGACCCAGGGGGCUGCCUUCGCCAUCGGUGUUCCUCCACAUAUCUACGCAUUUCACUGCUACACGUGGAAUUCUACCCCCCUCUGCCAAACUCUAGCCUUGCAGUCACCAUCGCCAUUCCCAGGUUGAGCCCGGGGAUUUCACGACAGUCUUACAAAACCGCCUGCGCACGCUUUACGCCCAGUAAUUCCGAUUAACGCUUGCACCCUACGUAUUACCGCGGCUGCUGGCAC